rnacentral:rRNA from 1 species
GCGGCGGACGGGUGAGUAACACGUGGGCAACCUGCCUGUAAGACUGGGAUAACUCCGGGAAACCGGGGCUAAUACCGGAUAAUUUCUUUUUCCGCAUGGAGAAAGGAUAAAAGACGGCUCUGCUGUCACUUACAGAUGGGCCCGCGGCGCAUUAGCUAGUUGGUGGGGUAACGGCCUACCAAGGCAACGAUGCGUAGCCGACCUGAGAGGGUGAUCGGCCACACUGGGACUGAGACACGGCCCAGACUCCUACGGGAGGCAGCAGUAGGGAAUCUUCCGCAAUGGACGCAAGUCUGACGGAGCAACGCCGCGUGAGUGAUGAAGGUCUUCGGAUCGUAAAACUCUGUUAUCAGGGAAGAACCCGCAUCGGAGUAACUGCCGAUGCGUUGACGGUACCUGACCAGAAAGCCACGGCUAACUACGUGCCAGCAGCCGCGGUAAUACGUAGGUGGCAAGCGUUGUCCGGAAUUAUUGGGCGUAAAGCGCGCGCAGGCGGCUUCUUAAGUCUGAUGUGAAAGCCCACGGCUCAACCGUGGAGGGUCAUUGGAAACUGGGAGGCUUGAGUGCAGAAGAGGAGAGCGGAAUUCCACGUGUAGCGGUGAAAU